rnacentral:rRNA from 1 species
GUGGGGAAUAUUGGACAAUGGGCGCAAGCCUGAUCCAGCAAUGCCGCGUGGGUGAAGAAGGCCUUCGGGUUGUAAAGCCCUUUUGUACGGAAAGAAAUCCUGGUGGUUAAUACCCGCCGGGGAUGACGGUACCGUAAGAAUAAGCACCGGCUAACUUCGUGCCAGCAGCCGCGGUAAUACGAAGGGUGCAAGCGUUAAUCGGAAUUACUGGGCGUAAAGCGUGCGUAGGUGGUUUCUUAAGUCUGUCGUGAAAGCCCUGAGCUCAACAUGGGAAUGGUGAUGGAUACUGGGGAGCUAGAGUGCGGUAGAGGAUGGCGGAAUUCCGCGUGUAGCGGUGAAAUGCGUAGAGAUCGGGAGGAACAUCUGUGGCGAAGUCGGCCAUCUGGACCAGCACUGACACUGAGGCACGAAAGCGUGGGGAGCAAACAGGAUUAGAUACCCCAGUAGUCC